AUUGAACGCUGGCGGCGUGCUUAACACAUGCAAGUCGAGCGGUGACAGGUGUUGCAAUACAUUCUGACGUGAGGCGGAUGGGGGAGGAACGCUUGGGAAUCUGCCUCUCAGCGGGGGAGAACCCGGGGAAACUCGGGCUAAUCCCGCAUACGCACUGCGGAGGAACGCGGGGUACCGCACAGCCUGGCAGCGCCAGAAGAGCCCAAGUCGGAUUAGCUAGUUGGCGGGGUAACGGCCCACCAAGGGGACGAUCCGUAGCCGGUCGUUGAGGGCGAUCAGCCACACCGGAACUGAGACACGGUCCGGACUCCUACGGGAGGCAGAAGGGGGGAAUAUUGGACAAUGGGGGAAACCCUGAUCCAGCGACGCCGCGUGGGUGAAGAAGGCCUGCGGGUUGUAAAGCCCUUUCGGUAGGGACGAAAGCGCUUGCCUUAACACGGCAAGAGGUUGACUUAACCUACAUAAGAAGCACCGGCUAACUCUGUGCCAGCCGCCGCCGUAAUAC
rnacentral:rRNA from 1 species